UUAUCACGAGAGUGGGGAGAACGGGGUUCAACUGGAGAAGAGGAAAUGUUGCGAUAUUUUCUGGAGAUCGGGGUUCAAAUGGAGAAAGGGAAAUGUUGAGGCAUUUUCUGGAGAGCGGGGUCCAAAUGGAGAAAAGGAGACACGAGGUGUUUUCUGGAGAAUGGGGUUCACAAUGGCGAUCACAAGUUAUCGUCAGGCGACUGGGGUUUAAACUGGAGAAUGGGGUUCAUUA
rnacentral:lncRNA from 1 species